AUCAAGAAUCUUAAUAAAGUUCUCUGUUUUUAAAGGUGUUUUGACUACUGUGAAUGAGCGAUUUUAAAUCUUUGUGACUUGGUUCAAAAUAACUGAUAGGCAUUUGUGAACAUGAAGAUAUACGGCUUUUUAGAAAGUACCAAUAAGGGUUUGUUGACUGUAAUUGGUUUACAUUAUUAAGUGGCUGUAGUUAACAUCUGAAAUUUGUUGUAUUAACUAUCCCGGAUUUUCUUUACAUCUAAUGUGCGUGUGAGUCUGUGUCUUUUGGUUUUGUGUGUGUUCUGUCAUGGUGUCUGGUUUGGGUUCUUUGGUUUGCUGGUUCUCUUUUUCUUUGGUGGUUUCUGUCUGCUCUUGGGUUUUUUCUGCAGUUCCUCUUGGGUGGGGGCCUGACUGGUCUUGGGGUCUGGGUGGUGUGAGUGUUCUGGGUGCUUCCUUUAGUCUGUGUUUUGUGAGGGGUUUGGCCGAGAGUGGCUGUGUCUUUGAAUUGGUCUGGUUUUUGCUUUUGUUUUUCCUUUUUUCUCAGAGAUUCUGUGGCUUCUGCUUUUCCCUUCCAAUUGGGGCUUGCUUAUGUUACUGCGUUUCUUAACAUGGGUGUAGCAGAUGAUGGGGAGUACUUCUUCUUUGAUGCUGCCCCUUGCUGCUGUCUCUGGUAGCUGUUGGAUUUAAGCAAGUUAUCAUGGAAGUGGUUUUGAAAGGAAGUCAAGGGUCACUUCUGAUGCAUUGGUCCUGAUUGUGGUGCUGUGUUGAAGAUUCUGCUUUGUGGUGCUGGUCCUGUUUGUUUUGCUUUGUGGUGCUAUGUCAUGCUUUGGUAGUUUGUGAUAAUCUUCCUCAGUCCAUGUGCAUCUGUUUUGUUCUUGCUUAAGGUCUUCUGCUGCUGUUUCUAAGGAUGCAAAGAAGUCUAGUUGGUGAUCCAAGUUUUGAGGUCUUCUCUGGUGCCUUUUCUUGUUUGGCCUUACAACACAUGAUAUGUUCAUGCUCUUUGCUGCUACUUUGUGUUGAUGUUUAGCCAAUGCAACUGCUCAAUGUGCUAGAUGUUCUCACUUCUCAAUCUGCUACAAGUUGAUGCUUCUGCUACGUUCACGCUGUGGCCUAAAUCAUGGGCUACUCCAUUUGGCUCAGUUGAUGCCUCUACUAUUGGGGUCUCAUUCUUGCUCUUGGAGCUGAUGCUGCUGUCCCUGAUCCCCUGGUGUUUUUCCCUUGCUUUUGGACGUGCUACUCGAAGGCCUCAGUUUUGGUCUCUACUUUACUUUUUGGUGUUGGAUUUAUGAGGCAAUUAUGUAUUUAUUUUUCUUUGGUUGGUUGAGGAUUGUGGAGUUGUAUUGAAUUGAUUCUUUGCACAUACCCGAGGCAAUAAAACCAUUUUGAUUUACUUGUUAA